UAGGGAAUCUUCGGCAAUGGACGGAAGUCUGACCGAGCAACGCCGCGUGAGUGAAGAAGGUUUUCGGAUCGUAAAGCUCUGUUGUAAGAGAAGAACGAGUGUGAGAGUGGAAAGUUCACACUGUGACGGUAUCUUACCAGAAAGGGACGGCUAACUACGUGCCAGCAGCCGCGGUAAUACGUAGGUCCCGAGCGUUGUCCGGAUUUAUUGGGCGUAAAGCGAGUGCAGGCGGUUAGAUAAGUCUGAAGUUAAAGGCUGUGGCUUAACCAUAGUACGCUUUGGAAACUGUUUAACUUGAGUGCAAGAGGGGAGAGUGGAAUUCCAUGUGUAGCGGUGAAAUGCGUAGAUAUAUGGAGGAACACCGGUGGCGAAAGCGGCUCUCUGGCUUGUAACUGACGCUGAGGCUCGAAAGCGUGGGGAGCAAACAGGAUUAGAUACCCUGGUAGUCCACGCCGUAAACGAUGAGUGCUAGGUGUUAGACCCUUUCCGGGGUUUAGUGCCGUAGCUAACGCAUUAAGCACUCCGCCUGGGGAGUACGACCGCAAGGUUG
rnacentral:rRNA from 1 species